rnacentral:rRNA from 1 species
AAGAGAAGAGAUUGGCCAAAUUGUGGGCUUUGUCUACUUUGUAGGAGGGAGCCGAAGACUGCCACCCACAUUAUGUUUAAGUGUCUUCUCUCCAUUCGUGUGCAGAAGAUGGUUCUGGAUUGGCUUGGCCUAAACUUCAUUAAUGUUGAUCACUAGGUCAACUUGAACUCUGUCUCGGUGUGGUGGCUUGCGGCGACUCGCCCACUGGGUAGCCGAGGUAAAGCCAUGACCACACUUGUCAUGCUCAUUGCUUGGAGGCUAUGGAAUGAAAGAAAUGUGUGCAUCUUCCGUAACCAUUCUUCAAUGCCGCCAAUCAUUUUUGCUAAGAUUCGAAGAGAGGUUGCAGAUUGGUGGAUAGCGGGGGGUAAACACGUGAGUUUCAUCAUUGCACGAGAGUAA